UACGGAGGGGGCUAGCGUUGUUCGGAAUUACUGGGCGUAAAGCGCACGUAGGCGGCUUGGUAAGUUAGAGGUGAAAGCCUGGAGCUCAACUCCAGAAUUGCCUUUAAGACUGCCGAGCUAGCAGGUGAGAGAGGUGAGUGGAAUUCCGAGUGUAGAGGUGAAAUUCGUAGAUAUUCGGAAGAACACCAGUGGCGAAGGCGGCUCACUGGCCCGGUACUGACACUGAGAUGCGAAAGCGUGGGGAGCAAACAGG
rnacentral:rRNA from 1 species